GUAGCUCAGUGUUAGAGCAUGUACUUAUCAUGCACAGGGCCCUGGGUUCAAUUUCCAGC
rnacentral:tRNA from 1 species